rnacentral:lncRNA from 1 species
GUUCUCGGUGCCGAGCACGGUGCCUGGCACGCGCCGCCGGGUGCUUCGUCCCCCUUCGCGGGACCAAGGGAUCGCAUUUUCUCCGGAACGCAGCGGGGGGGGGGGGGGGGGCAGCCGAGCGGCGCGCACAGGUGGGGCGGCCCCGCGCGCGCGGGUGUGGGUGUGUGUGUGUGUGUGUGUGGGGGUGUGCGCCGUGGGGCGGCGGUGUGCGCCGUGGGGCGGCGGUGUGCGCCGUGGGGCGCGCGGGCGGGCCCGGAGCGCGGAGCCCCGGAGCGCGGAGCCCCGAGCGCGGAGCGGGAGCGGGAGCGGGAGCAGCAGGGCCCGCCGCGCCGGGCGGCCGGGCGGCUCCGAGGUGGGUGGGCCGCGCCGCCAGCCCGCCCGGGGGUCCCCAUUGGCCGCCGCCGGCCGCCCUUCGCCAGGAGGAGCCGCGAGGCCGCUCGCGAGCUGGAGGGGGAGCGCCCGACCGCGCCGACGCCGGGGCGGCCGCGUGGGAUCCGCGCCCCCAGGCGCCCCCGCCCGCGCUCCCGCCGCCGCCCCGCUCGUGGCCGGCGCUCGCCGUCGGCCUCCGACUGCUCCAGAGGGACCCGCGCCGCUCCCGGGCGCCGGGUGAGUGGCCGCGCGCGCUCCCCGGCUCCUCCCGGGCCCCGCCGCCUGCUUUUGCUUUCGCCUCGGCGGCGGCGGCGGCGGCGCGGCGGGGUUUGCCCGGGCAGCGCCCGAGGCGCCCGGGCAGGCCGAGGCGGGGCCGGCUGGGCUGGGGAAGGGGGCGCGCCCGGGAGGCUCCCCCAGCCCGCGGCCCGGCGGGAACAGGUGGCGCGGGCCCGGCCGGGCGCUUUGUGUCGGGGCGCGGAGACGGGAGCGGGCGGCCGCGCCUCCUCGGCCGCUCGCCCCCUCCCUCGCCUGCUCCCGGGCGGCCGCUCGCCGGGUCGGCCGGGUAACGGAGCGGGAGUCGCCAGGAAUGUGCCUCGGGGGACUGCGUGGCGGUGGCGGGGGGCGGGGGGGCCGCUGCGCCGCCGCAGGCGGAGGGGAUGCUCGCGGCGAGGCGCGUUCCGCCGGGCCUGGCGGGGGCUUCCUUCUUCGCGGCGGCCCCGGAGGUGGGGAGCUGGGGGGCGUGUGUGCGCGAGGGGGAGGCGGGAGGCGGGAGGCGGGAGGCGGGGAGGCGGGGAGGCCGCUCACUUCCGGAGCCGGUUCUGGGCCGCGCCGAGCGCCCUGCCCUCGGGGACGCGGGCCUCGGGGUGCGGCCGUGCCGGGGCCCACGCGCGCGGCCGCGGUGCGGGGCUGGGGCGGCCCCGGCGCGGGCUUGACAAAAGGGUGCGCGGCUCCACCCGGCGGGGAGUGGUCGCCGGGGAGGGGUGGGCUUUGGCGAGCGGCCCCUAG